CUGCUACGUAGAAAAGUGUUUGAUGUUCAAUUAACGAUCGCUGAUUGUGCUGCACUAUGAUUCAUUUUACGCGGAAGUUGAUUACACGCCAUGGCUAUGAAAUUACGCAACAAACCACUAGAAGAAUUUGUGCCUCAACGAUACACACUUUAUUCAGUAGAAGAACGUGGUUCAUUUAUACGUAUCAAAUGAUCGUUUACUAGAUGGGAAAUUACGAGCCUCUUGUGGAGCCAUGUAAAAUGAGAUUAGAGAUUCAGAGUACCAGUUCCAUGGAACUAAAAGUAAAAGAUUGGUCUGAUUCGGCCUCCUCGUUCACGGUUUCGCUGCUUUCGGUAGUAGUUUCACUUUUAGAUCUGAAAGAAAUCACCAGAUGAGGGUAUUUCGUGGCUGCUGGGAAGACAAGUACGAGAAAUAAAGAAAACAAGCACAAGGCAAAACGGAUUAGUAAUAGACCAGAUCUGUUAGAGACACGAGGAUUGAGUUAGAUCUGAACGAGAAUGCUCGGUGAACGUGUGAUGAACGCCUUCAUCACGAUUGAUCAUUAACGACGAAAGACACUAAACUAAUCUGAAAGGAAUUUUAAUCUUCGGUUAACUCGUCGAUUACAACUGUUAUAAAUAAACUACGGAUGCAUAUUUCAUAUUUUUGUAAUUAAAGAAAUGAAAUCUAGAUAAAAACUAGUUUUACCUACUAUAGAUAUUAUAAUCUGUCCUUUGUUUCGGAUAUUUUAUGUAUCUUUUGCGUAUUAAGUGCACUCUAUACAUUUCUGCACUUCUAAAUUUGUUGUGUAUAUAUAAACAUCCACAGUCUAAUUAUAAGUUUUCAGGUGCUAAUUCUGGUCUUGUCAAAAAUUAAGUAAUAAUAUUGCAGUGUAAGAGUUACUAUAAUGUCAUUAAAUACUCCUCAUAUUUAGAGAAUUUCAAUUGUUCAAUUACGUUGUAACAUAGAAAUCAAUGUUAACAUUUAUAUUAUACAGUAAUAUAAUAAAAUAAAGUUGUCAUUAUUAUUUCUAGAUCUUCUUGUGGAAGUGAUUUCGACAUAAAAAUUAUGUUCCAAAAGUCAGCACCUGGAAACUUCAAACAGUUUCAACCGUUCAAGAAAAGAAGCACUCUCGCUAUAAACUCGAAGAUCACAUUCAUCGUGUUUCUAAAAAAGAAAAUAUAAAAAAUAUCGAAUUUGUCGACUCUCUUCUAGGAACGCUCUAUCAUCUCUUUCGCUCAAUGUAAUCGCUCUAAAUGAAGGCUGACGUAUGUGUCGUUCUCCUUGCUGGGAGAAGAUUGUUUUUUCACACUGUUCUCGCAUGCUAUAUUAAAGUUAUUCGAACAUGUUUCAAAAAUCAUUUUAAAAUGAGAAAAAAAAAAACAUGUUUGGGUCGCAUGUUCCUCUAACGACAAUAUAAACGUACGAAUAUACUCUAGAUGAAAAUCAGGUAACAAGAUAUACAAUGGUGCACACACACAUAGGUGAACUGUACCGACGACAGAAUACUGUAUUCAACUUCGAACACGUUUUAACAUUGCUUUAAAUGGAACACGAUGACAUCUCUCCUACGAUAAUUUGUGAUUAUGCCUCGGUGCAUUAUGAACGAACACACCAACACAUAUACAGUGGUUACAAAAAGUAUCUGUAUAUACCUAUAUAUAUCUUUGUAAUAAAGCGCUUUUUUUAGCAGGUCCUAUAUUUUUACAGUAUCGACUUUUUGUAAUCACAUAAAAGUACUAUUAAAUGACACGAAACUGAGUACGUUUGAAUCUGAUUAAUUAAUAUAUAAAUGCUAUAAUAAUUAUGUACUAAUGCUUUUUAUAACCACUGUGCAGUGAAUGUAACACGUAUAAGAAAAAUAAUUCUUUGACAUGAAAAUCGUGUUCCAAGCAUCCUAUGGAUUAACGACGUAAUACAAAAGUACACAAAAUACGUUUGUUCACGCCACGCGUGUUUUCUUCUUGGAAAAAAGUCAAAACGUAAGCAACUAAGCUAUACUUUGCUUCCUGUUCUAACUUCUUUCCCUCGUUUGUUUAACGUUGGAACACGAUCCAGUAAGCUUACUCCAGGUUAAAGAAUGAUCGUGACGAUUUGUGUAGAAGCUCGGCUUAAGAGUAAAAAUCUUUUUUAACCGCGUUACGUAUUUGUAAUUCUUUUUCGUUUCCAUUCGUUUCUUUUUUAAACUUCAUGUAGAAGCAAUUAUAGAUGUACUCAGUCUUUCCACGAUGCUCAAUAUGCUUCAAACGAUUUACUAUUGAGCAAAUCAGUUAGAAUUCGUGUUUUAAAAUAAUGUUUUUUUAACCCCUAGUUACUCUCUUUUAUGUGGGAACUAAAGUUCUUUAUAAUUUGUAUAAAUAUUGCAAUAUCUAUCCGAAUGCUAGACGGGAGUGAGAUUGCUGAUGAUAGAUGAUAGAAAAGCGCCUUUGAUAAGGGGUUAAAAGUGUAUAAAAUAAAAUUUACUAACACAG
rnacentral:lncRNA from 1 species